AGGUUAGCUAGAGCCGGGUGUUGCAUAGAGGGAGAAUGGGAGUUGAUUUCUCCUUCGUGUAUUCCAUAGAGGAAAUAUAAGAUUCAUUUGACAGGAUGCAAAGCAGUACAGCUGUUGGGUGCUCUUGCUGCAAUGUUGCUGAUACGAACUGGUGAGCAUUACAGCCGUCGGUUUCUCGCGGACCCGUUGGCACUUGAGAAGCCCACUCGCAUCGUCCGAGCAUCUCAUGCAUAUACAACAAGGACUCCCUGAUCACAGCCAACCUGAUGAGGCAAUGCUGCAGAGGACGAGGACAUAAACGUGUUGCUAGCCCUACACUACUUCUUGAAAGUGGAUGCGGCUUAGCGGUCGCUCCAUGUCCAUGGCGUUUUCAAGCCCAAAUGUCGCGCCACGGUGGAGCAUCGCCAGGACGGGCAUGGCGCUGGCUUAGUGAAGCUCAUUGAUACUAAUUUGUGGAGUUAACUUCUCUAUUUGUGAAUUUCUUGUGUCCUGAUACUUCAAUUUAGACUAUUCCCACAAGAUGGAUUUUUAUUUGAGUCUACUAGAUGGAUUGUUUGUGAAGUUCGCUUCUGAUAUUUGCGCUGA